CCUUAUCGGAUUACUGGGCGUAAGCGUGCGCAGGCGGUCCUGCUAAGACAGAUGUGAAAUCCCCGGGCUUAACCUGGGAACUGCAUUUGUGACUGGCGGGCUAGAGUAUGGCAGAGGGGGGUAGAAUUCCACGUGUAGCAGUGAAAUGCGUAGAGAUGUGGAGGAAUACCGAUGGCGAAGGCAGCCCCCUGGGCCAAUACUGACGCUCAUGCACGAAAGCGUGGGGAGCAAACAGGAUUAGAUACCCUGGUAGUCCACGCCCUAAACGAUGUCAACUAGUUGUCGGGUCUUCAUUGACUUGGUAACGUAGCUAACGCGUGAAGUUGACCGCCUGGGGAGUACGGUCGCAAGAUUAAAACUCAAAGGAAAUUGACGGA
rnacentral:rRNA from 1 species